rnacentral:snoRNA from 1 species
AUUUGAUGGUGUGGGCAGCUUGCACAUAGUUUCUUGAAACGCUCCCAAUAUUUAUACAGGGACUCUCCAUUAUUUUGUCUUAUACCACAGAUUUCUUUCCUAAUGUU